rnacentral:rRNA from 1 species
AAAGAAACCAACAGGGAUUGCCCUAGUAACGGCGAGUGAAGCGGCAACAGCUCAAAUUUGAAAUCUGGCUUCGGCCCGAGUUGUAAUUUGCAGAGGAAGCUUUAGGCGCGGCACCUUCUGAGUCCCCUGGAACGGGGCGCCAUAGAGGGUGAGAGCCCCGUAUAGUUGGAUGCCUAGCCUGUGUAAAGCUCCUUCGACGAGUCGAGUAGUUUGGGAAUGCUGCUCAAAAUGGGAGGUAAAUUUCUUCUAAAGCUAAAUACCGGCCAGAGACCGAUAGCGCACAAGUAGAGUGAUCGAAAGAUGAAAAGCACUUUGAAAAGAGGGUUAAACAGCACGUGAAAUUGUUGAAAGGGAAGCGCUUGUGACCAGACUUGCGCCGGGCUGAUCAUCCGGUGUUCUCACCGGUGCACUCGGCCCGGCACAGGCCAGCAUCGGUUCUCGCGGGGGGAUAAAGGUCCCGGGAACGUAGCUCCUCCGGGAGUGUUAUAGCCCGGGGCGUAAUGCCCUCGCGGGGACCGAGGUUCGCGCAUCUGCAAGGAUGCUGGCGUA